rnacentral:rRNA from 1 species
UUCGCAAUGCCCGAAAGGGUGACGAAGCGACGCCGCGUGGGUGAGGAAGGCCUUCGGGUUGUAAAGCCCUGUCAGGAGUUAAGAAAUAUAAGUGCGCUAAUAUCGCAUUUAUUUGACGAAGGCUCCAAAGGAAGCCACGGCUAGCUCUGUGCCAGCAGCCGCGGUAAUACAGAGGUGGCAAGCGUUGUUCGGAAUUAUUGGGCAUAAAGGGCACGUAGGUGGGUUUGUAAGUCAGAUGUGAAAGCCUUCUGUUCAACGGAAGAAUUGCAUCUGAAACUACAAGUCUUGAGUGUAGGAGGGGAGAAUGGAACUUCUGGUGGAGCGGUGAAAUGCGUAGAUAUCAGAAGGAACGCCGGCGGCGAAAGCGAUUCUCUGGCCUAUUACUGACGCUCAGUGUGCGAAAGCUAGGGGAGCAAACGGGAUUAGAUACCCCGGUAGUCCUAGCUGUAAACGAUGGGCACUAAGUAGAGGGGUUUU